AGUGAACGCUGGCGGUAGGCCUAACACAUGCAAGUCGAACGGCAGCACAGUAAGAGCUUGCUCUUACGGGUGGCGAGUGGCGGACGGGUGAGGAAUACAUCGGAAUCUACUUUUUCGUGGGGGAUAACGUAGGGAAACUUACGCUAAUACCGCAUACGACCUACGGGUGAAAGCAAGGGAUCUUCGGACCUUGCGCGAUUGAAUGAGCCGAUGUCGGAUUAGCUAGUUGGCGGGGUAAAGGCCCACCAAGGCGACGAUCCGUAGCUGGUCUGAGAGGAUGAUCAGCCACACUGGAACUGAGACACGGUCCAGACUCCUACGGGAGGCAGCAGUGGGGAAUAUUGGACAAUGGCGCAAGCCUGAUCCAGCCAUACCGCGUGGGUGAAGAAGGCCUUCGGGUUGUAAAGCCCUUUUGUUGGGAAAGAAAAGCAGCAGGUUAAUACCCCGCUGUUCUGACGGUACCCAAAGAAUAAGCACCGGCUAACUUCGU
rnacentral:rRNA from 1 species